GUGUCAGCAGCCGCGGUAAUACGGAGGAUCCGAGCGUUAUCCGGAUUUAUUGGGUUUAAAGGGUACGUAGGCGGGGCGUAUAAGUCAGCGGUGAAAUUUCGGAGCUUAACUUUGAGCUUGCCGUUGAAACUAUCGUUCUUGAGUUUAGAUGAGGUAAGCGGAAUGUGUUGUGUAGCGGUGAAAUGCUUAGAUAUAACACAGAACCCCGAUUGCGAAGGCAGCUUACCGGGCUAACACUGACGCUGAGGUACGACAGCGUGGGGAUCAAACAGGAUUAGAUACCCUGGUAGUCCACGCCGUAAACGAUGAAUACUCGCUGUUUGCGAUAUACAGCAAGCGGCCAAGCGAAAGCAUUAAGUAUUCCACCUGGGGAGUACGUUCGCAAGAAUGAAACUCAAAGAAAUUGACGG
rnacentral:rRNA from 1 species